GUGCAGCAGUCGCGAAUCCUUCGCAAUGCGGGAAACCGCGACGAGGGGACUCCCAGUGCCUACGCUCAGCGUAGGCUGUUCCCGAGCCUAGAAAGCUCGGGGAGUAAGGGCUGGGUAAGACGGGUGCCAGCCGCCGCGGUAAUACCCGCAGCCCGAGUGGUGGCCACUAUUAUUGGGCCUAAAGCGUCCGUAGCCGGCCCGGUAAAUGCCUGGGUAAAUCGUGAGGCCUAACCUCACGAAUUCCGGGUAGACUGCCGGGCUAGGGACCGGAGGAGGGAGAGGGGUACUCCAGGGGUAGGGGUGAAAUCCUGUAAUCCCUGGAGGACCACCGGUGGCGAAGGCGCUCUCCUAGGACGGGUCCGACGGUGAGGGACGAAAGCCAGGGGAGCGAACCGGAUUAGAUACCCCGGUAGU
rnacentral:rRNA from 1 species